rnacentral:lncRNA from 1 species
CUAAUCCCUUCAACACUUGAAAAAUGUAGCCACAGACCUUCAAUGCAAGCUUACUCCUUCUUCUUCGGUGGGUAAUCAACACUAUUCCUAUCGAUUCAUUAUCUUUCUUCAUAUCAACUUUCAAGAGUAAGCAUGCUACUCCUUUGUAUCUUCAAUAUAAAAAAACUUUUGUUCUUAUUAUUGUAUUUUUCAACUGAGUUUUAUGGUGGAUGGAAGUGGUGGUUCUUUUAUGUUACUGAGGGUGCUCGUUUAGAAUGAUGUCCUCCAUUGCUAAGUAUAAUCAUUUCACUCUUAAAUAUUUUUUCCCUCUUCUUAUGACUAACUGAUUUGAUUUUGCAGGUGACACUGUGGUGAAGUACAUGAGAAGCUUCACAUUUCUGCUUCAUGGUAAUGGAGUCAUCAUUCAGGUUAACCAUUUCUAAUUCGACCCAAGCCCCUCUCAUUUUGCCAAGUCCUUUUUGAAGGUUGUAAUAGCCUAGGCUAGUUAGCACUUCACCUUUUUCUUGCCCAAGAGGCACUUGGAAAUUCAGAUCUUAUGAAAAUGCUAUAUGUUUUAGCCUUCCCAGGCCCUUUAUUUCUUGAUAGAUGAAACUCUCAAAUAUUGGCUUUAUAGUUUAUCACUAAUUAUGAUCCUUCUACCUUGUACUUUCAUGCUUUUAAAACUCUCAUAUUUGUAAUUUCUUAAAUUUAUUGCACGAUUAGCUAGAUAAUCUGCUAGUUUAUUCCCUUUCCUGGGGAUAUGUUGUAUAAUAACAUCUUUGCUUUGAAGAUUAGCUUGAAUUUCUUCUAUUAAUUGUGCAAUACUCCACAGACAUCCCCAC